GCCCCGAUAGCUUAAUGGAUAAAGCUGCGCUCUCCUAAGGCGCAGAUGUGGGUUCGAUUCCCUCUCGGGGCA
rnacentral:tRNA from 1 species